GAGGGUAUAGCUCAAAUGGUAGAGUGCAUGCUUAGCAUGCACAAGGACCUGGGUUCAAUCCCCAGUACCUCCU
rnacentral:tRNA from 1 species